UUACUACUUUGUUCACAUCGCCUAAAUACUUUUUGGGCGUUUUUGAGCACUUUUUAUUUUUUGUUUGCACGGGUCUCCAUGGCGACGGCGAGCCGCAUUGUUUACACCCGCGACCAGAUGAUCGCCCUGAGGUACCCGAGCAUCCUGACCGGAGAGAGACCCUCCAUACCGGAGGAGCUGAGGAGACGGUGAGGCUGCAGAGCGGGGGUUAAACGGAGGAUGAAGAAGAGGAGCUUUAAACCCUACAAACGUGGCUACACGAGCAGAUACCGGACUCCAACGUCACCAUUCCCGGCUUCCAGACGGUUCGAGCCGACAGGGACAGAACCGGGACCGGCAUGAAGAAAGGAGGGGGACUGUCCGUGCUCAUCAACAACAGGUGGUGUAACGCCGGGCACGUCUGUGUGAAAGAGCGUCUGCAGCCCGGACAUCGAGCUGUCACCGUCGGACCUCGUCCCUGUGGUCUGCCACGGGAACUUUCCAGUGUUGUCGCCAUCACUGUCUAUAUUCCUCACAGUGGUCUUCAUCAUCAUCAUCACUGUUUACAUUUAUGAUGUCUUUUAUUCUCCUGUACAGCACUUUGGUCAACUUUGGUUGUUUUUAAAGUGCUUAACAAAUAAAGUUAGAUUGGAUUGGAUUGGAUCAUAGAUCAUGUGAUAAACGAUGGUCUAUCAAUGAGAGAGGCUGGUGAAAGAGUCCAGCCUAAUCUCAGACAGUCUACCGUGGCUUCCAUUAUCGGGACUUUUCAACAAACCAACAGGACGCAAGUCUUCCUCCCUCUGGGGGAAGAGGAAAGCUCCUCAGUGAAGACCAAGAGCAUGCCAUUGUAGGACUGGUCAUUGCUGACAAUACAAUAAAACUAAAGACAGAAAUUCAGACCAGAAUUGUUGAGGACAACGUAGUAUUUCACAAUGUGGAAAGCAUUAGCCUGACCACCAUUGCUCGGACUCUGAGCAAACACAGAUGAAACAGUUGUACACAGUACCUUUUGAAAGGAACAGUGAGCGGUUCAAGGAACUCAGACACCAAUACGUCCAGAGAGUCAUGGAGUUCGAGGUUAAUCAAACCCCACAUGAUACCAUUUAUGUGGACAAGGCAGGGUUUAACCUGGCAAAGACAAGUCGGCGGGAAAGAAACGUCAUUGGAAAAAGGGCCACCGUUGAUGUGCCGGGUCAGAGAGGAGCAAAUAUUACAAUGUGUGCUGCAAUCUCAAGUGCUGGUUUGGUUCUGCACAAAUGCCAGAUUGGUCCCUACAAUACCGAGCGACUUCUUUUGGUUUUAGAUGACCUCCACCAACGACUAGUGCCAGAAGCAGAAAGGGAACAGGUUGGAGGAAACCUGAGGACAUUUGUAAUUGCAUGGGACAAUGUUGCAUUUCACCAUGCACAUGCAAUCACAAACUGGUUUGAGGCCCAUCCAAGAAUGGUUUCCCUUUUCCUCCCCCCUUACUCGCCUUUCCUCAACCCCUCAGCUGAAGACUGCCAGGGGUGGAUAAGGCAUGCUAAGUGUUUCUAUCCAAGGUGCACAGCGAGAGAUGACAUUAGAUGUGAUGUGGAUGAAGAUCGUAUGGAUUAGAACAGGACUGUGCAUUUUUGUUUCUUUCCCAUCUGUGCCUCUUUUUUUGUUGUCAAAUUGUGUAUCUGACAGUAUUUUGACACAUUUUGAACCAAAGGCCACAUAGUUUGGAUUAUUUGUUGAUCACUGGCUGCAAUUUCAUGUUGAUAGUAUUGUAAAGCUUUAAUUUCUGCAAUUUUGUCGCUUACAAUUUUUUUUCCA